UACGUAGGGUGCAAGCGUUAAUCGGAAUUACUGGGCGUAAAGCGUGCGCAGGCGGUCGUGCAAGACAGAUGUGAAAUCCCCGGGCUUAACCUGGGAACUGCAUUUGUGACUGCACGGCUGGAGUGCGGCAGAGGGGGAUGGAGUUCCGCGUGUAGCAGUGAAAUGCGUAGAUAUGCGGAGGAACACCGAUGGCGAAGGCAAUCCCCUGGGCCUGCACUGACGCUCAUGCACGAAAGCGUGGGGAGCAAACAGG
rnacentral:rRNA from 1 species